rnacentral:lncRNA from 1 species
CACCACUCCCAGCACAGUUAAUGGCAUUUCCUAAAAGCAGCACUCUGACUGGUUCAAUUUUCCCUGCUCUAAGGAGCCUUCUUGGAUUAUCUCCUUAUGACCUGUGGUUGCUCGUUUGGGUCAGAGUCGCUGUCUGAGGUCACAGAAAACGGAAAAAGGGCCAGCCCUUGCUUGGAGGAAUCUACCUUGCUGCAAUAUACAAGCCAUAAGCCAUAACGAUGUCCUCUCUGGCACUUUGCACCAUAUGGAACAUGCCAGCAGACAAUGAGAGGACUGAAGAGCUGAGCAUCGGCAAUGAAACGCUUAGCCUGGGAGCACAGCACACGCUGCAUAACGACCUUUCUGUCAAUGAUGGGUUGCGUCUGUGAAGCCCAGAGUGGAGGACGAAAUUAACAAUGAGGAAUUCACACUCAGCAAAAAGCAAAAUAUGAAAGCCUGAUUGCGGAUUUCCUAAUGGACAAGAUUAUUUUCCUCUACAGAGAGCCUUAGGUUGCCAGAGGAACCAUCUGCAGGGCCCCAAAGCAUUUAGGAUCAGACUAUUCUGUCGACGUUAGCCUAGCCCACUGAUCUGGAGCAGGAUGUGACAUUCUCCGCUGGUGGUUUUGGCUUCAAUCCACCGAAGCCACAUGUCGAGGACUAAAAGAGGGAUCGGGCCCAUGUGUGGCUGAUUGGGCCCUAUCUUCUGGAGAGAGCUGGUACUCAUUAAGAACAGCCAAGAUUCUCAUCUUCCUGUCCCAAAAUCAGAGACCUUUCUUAGCUCUUUCAGGUCACCUGAGAUACUGGUUUGCCUCCCAAACCCUGCUGCCUCAGGAAUGCUGUGCUGCAGGGCUGUGUCUGUCAGUUUCCACCUGCAGGCUCCCUCACUCCUUCCUGCACUAAGCUAAUCAUUGCAUGUGUUACAAGGGUGGAAAUGGCACAUCUGGGCUGAAACCAGGACAGCAACAUGAACAAAAUGAAAAGUCCAAAGGGACAAGCUCACCUAAAAAUUACUUGUCCCCGUACUUCCCCCACCCUUCUCCUUUCUCCCUUAGACCCAAGUUGCAGAAGAAGAGCUUCAAUGUGAUAGAAAUACCUGGCUUUGCCCCUUGCCUUCCAGGGAUGUUUAGAGAAAACCGCUGAGACCCUUGGAUGUUGUGUUGUCUGCUGGGAUUCUCCCAAGGGCUGCAUCCAUAGUGUGGAAAUGGAUAGGGUGCUACAAGGCUAUUUCCACAAAGCACGUGUGGUAUUUGCAUGUGAUUUCCCUAUGCACACUGUGCAACCCCUCCCCAGACCAUUUUUCAAGUUAAAAACAUUUUUAUGGCUCUCUUGGUGCAGUCACUUCUGGAUUUUUCCUCCUAUCUGAGCUGCCUUCUCCCUCGGGCACUCUCCCUGGCCCAGAUCUUUGGCGAGGGAGCCAAGUGGAGCCAGGGAAGAACCAUAGAGGAAUGCAGGACUCAGCCCCUCUAGAGUCGGCUGCUCCGAGGGUCUAGCUGCUUAUCUCGCCUUUGCCCAGGGCACUGGCUGAGAUUCUAUUUCCAAAAUUGUUCACACUAGGUGAUUACACUGUAGACUGUGGGACUGUAGCUCAAUUCACAAAAAGUCUCUUUGAUCUAGAAGUUUCUAAACUGCCUUCUAUCCGUUUCUCUUCUGUCUCUGGUCAACAUUCUUUUAAAAAUGAGUCUUGGCUGGGUGUGGUGG